rnacentral:rRNA from 1 species
AGACCCGAAACCCGGUGAUCUAGCCAUGGGCAGGUUGAAGGUUGGGUAACACUAACUGGAGGACCGAACCGACUAAUGUUGAAAAAUUAGCGGAUGACCUGUGGCUGGGGGUGAAAGGCCAAUCAAACCGGGAGAUAGCUGGUUCUCCCCGAAAGCUAUUUAGGUAGCGCCUCGUGAAUUCAUCUCCGGGGGUAGAGCACUGUUUCGGCUAGGGGGCCAUCCCGGCUUACCAACCCGAUGCAAACUGCGAAUACCGGAGAAUGUUAUCACGGGAGACACACGGCGGGUGCUAACGUCCGUCGUGAAGAGGGAAACAACCCAGACCGCCAGCUAAGGUCCCAAAGUCAUGGUUAAGUGGGAAACGAUGUGGGAAGGCCCAGACAGCCAGGAUGUUGGCUUAGAAGCAGCCAUCAUUUAAAGAAAGCGUAAUAGCUCACUGGUCGAGUCGGCCUGCGCGGAAGAUGUAACGGGGCUAAACCAUGCACCGAAGCUGCGGCAGCGAACGUAUCACUUAAAGCGAUUCAGCGGGUUACGAUUGACGGAGCGAAGCGACGUCAAAGCGUAUACAAAGUCGAGUCGGUUUAAGGAUACGUUCGUUGGGUAGGGGAGCGUUCUGUAAGCCUGCGAAGGUGGCCUGUGAGGGUUGCUGGAGGUAUCAGAAGUGCGAAUGCUGACAUAAGUAACGAUAAAGCGGGUGAAAAGCCCGCUCGCCGGAAGACCAAGGGUUCCUGUCCAACGUUAAUCGGGGCAGGGUGAGUCGACCCCUAAGGCGAGGCCGA